AGAUCACAAAAACAAAGCAGAAAAGGAAAGCCCAAAGAUAAAAGAAAGAUAUUUAAACAACGGAGGGGACAUAUUGGAAUCCCUGGAGCUCAUCCUGUCAGAGUAUCCUUCCUAGAAGUCCUGUAUCUCCACCGCCAAAGUUCUCUGGAAGAAAUUACAACUUUAUGAUUCAUGAACACAAAGAGGACAAUCCUUUCAUCUAUCUAUCUUAUAAAUGGGAUGGCUCUCUGGGAACAGCUAAACUUGAA